UAUUCCUAUUUAAUAUAAAAAUUGGAGAGUACGAGCUAUGGCUUAAAAACUAAAGAAUAUGGCGGUAUUUUAUUCAAUCGGGGUGGCAUGUAACUUAAUUUGAUAGUCCACGAUUUUAAAACUUGAUUUUGAAUAACAGUAUGUGUACUGCCGUAAAAUGUAAUUUUAAUAGAUUAUGUAAUAUAUAUAUAUAUAUAUAUAUAUUCAGGUCUAAGUGCAACUAAUAAUCAUGUGUUUAUGUGCUACAUUUAUGUAUUCAUUCAUUAAUAUUUUUAAAUAAUAAAAAGAAGAACUUGAUAGUAAUUAAAUUAAUUUGAUUUAAUGAAUUUGAAAUUAAAAUAUGU
rnacentral:rRNA from 1 species